rnacentral:rRNA from 1 species
UACGUAGGUGGCAAGCGUUGUCCGGAUUUACUGGGCGUAAAGGGCGUGCAGGCGGUCUGUUAAGUCUAGGGUGAAAGCUCCCGGCUCAACUGGGAGAGGUCCUUGGAUACUGGCGGACUUGAGGGAGGCAGAGGAAAGUGGAAUUCCCGGUGUAGUGGUGAUAUGCGUAGAUAUCGGGAGGAACACCAGUGGCGAAGGCGGGUCUCUGGGCCGUAACUGACGCUGAGGAGCGAAAGCAUGGGGAGCGAACAGG